UGCCAGCCGCCGCGGUAAUACGAAGGGUGCGAGCGUUAAUCGGAAUUACUGGGCGUAAAGAGCACGUAGGUGGUUUAGUAAGCGGAAUGUGAAAGCCCAGGGCUCAACCUUGGAACUGCAUUCCGAACUGCUAGGCUAGAGUAUGGUAGAGGUAAGCGGAAUUUCCUGUGUAGCGGUGAAAUGCGUAGAUAUAGGAAGGAACAUCAGUUGCGAAGGCGGCUUACUGGACCAAUACUGACACUGAGGUGCGAAAGCGUGGGUAGCGAACAGGAUUAGAUA
rnacentral:rRNA from 1 species